rnacentral:rRNA from 1 species
AAUAGUUUUUACAAUAUCGAUUUAAUCGACUAAAAUUCUAGGUAGAUUUAUGAUGAUGACAUUAUCUAUCUAUGUGUCUUGACCAAAUUACGUGCCAGCAGUCGCGGUAAGACGUAAGAGACUAGUGUUAUUCAUCUUUAAUAGGUUUAAAGCGUACCUAGACGGUAAUUAAAGCCUMUAUCAUVAGGAACUUGUUUACUAGAGUUAAAUGUAAGGGUGUAUUAAAGUACUGUUGAGUGUAGAGAUGAAAUUCGUUGAUACCAAAUAAUUGGCACAGGUAUAGGCGAAAGCAUCACUUUAUGUAAUAACUGACGUUGACGGACGAAGGCUUUGUGUCGCGAACAGGAUUAGAUACCCCAGUAGUCUUAGCAGAAAACUAUGAGUGUCAUAGGUUAGAUUUUAUUUGGUCUAUAAAUGAAAGUGUAAGCACUCCACCUCAAGAGUAAUUUGGCAACAUUGGAACUGAAAUCAUUAGACCGUUUCUGAAACCAGUAGUGAAGUAUGUUGUUUAAUUUGAUAAUCCGCAAAGAACCUUACCACAAUUUGAAUAUAAAUGAUUUAUUUUUACAAGCGUUGCACGGCUGUCUUCAGUUAAUGUCGUGAGAUAUUGGUUUAUUCCAUUAAAUUAACGUAAACCCGUACUUUAUUUUUAUAUAAAGUUGUUCAUUUCACUAUAAUGGAUGUGAUAACAGGGACUAAGACAAGUCAUCAUGGCCUAAUAUUGUGGCU